GAUGAACGCUAGCGGCAGGCCUAACACAUGCAAGUCGAGGGGUAGAGGAAGCUUGCUUCCUUGAGACCGGCGCACGGGUGCGUAACGCGUAUGCAAUCUACCUUAUACAGAGGGAUAGCCCAGAGAAAUUUGGAUUAAUACCUCAUAGUAUUAUGAAAUCGCAUGGUUUUAUAAUUAAAGUUCCAACGGUAUAAGAUGAGCAUGCGUCCCAUUAGUUAGUUGGUAAGGUAACGGCUUACCAAGACAAUGAUGGGUAGGGGUCCUGAGAGGGAGAUCCCCCACACUGGUACUGAGACACGGACCAGACUCCUACGGGAGGCAGCAGUGAGGAAUAUUGGUCAAUGGACGCAAGUCUGAACCAGCCAUGCCGCGUGCAGGAUGACGGUCCUAUGGAUUGUAAACUGCUUUUAUACAGGAAGAAACACUCCCUCGUGAGGGAACUUGACGGUACUGUAGGAAUAAGGAUCGGCUAACUCCGUGCCAGCCGCCGCAGUAACAC
rnacentral:rRNA from 1 species